CGUCACAUCGAAAUGACGUGCCAAAUGGUAAAUGGCCUCCACUCGGUCGAGCUGGGAUUUUAUGAUCGAGCCGAAAUCCAAUCCAAAGAAAAUACAUGCGAUAUGAUGCGAUCGGCCGCCGGAAUCAUAAAAAUAUGAUCGCCUGAGCGCCGUACGAUCGCGAUAGAGAUAAAUUUCCGGCCAGAACGCACCGGUCGCCCGCGAAUUAUGUGCUAAAAUUGCUACGUGCGAGGAACGGCAACUACGACGUGAACGGGACGGCCGUUACGCGCUCACGUCGACCUUGCCUGCUGAUUUCGGGCCUGAUGCGAAGGACACCGAGGCUCGCCACGACGUCGCAGGAUAUACAUCACACUAGGUGACAUGCCUAGCACUCGUGAUAUCGAACGGGCCGAACGUAAUGGGAGAUUUCGCUCGCGAAGAAGAGGCAGCACGAGCAGCGACGUGAAUCGACACAGCUUUGAUGGUACUGAUAAACGACACAGACGGCAUGGAAAGAGCAAGAAUUCUGGCAAAAAGAAGAAGAAACGUUCGCGCGACAAGUCAUUGGAGAACGUGCCGACUGUAGCUUCAUCGGUUGUUAAACCAUUGGUCGAGUAUUCCGACGUGAGUAGCGAGGAUCUCUCGGAACCGGAAGCGGGAGAGAUACAAUCGGAGGACAGUCGGGCCAAUAGUUACACGGAUGGGGAAGUACCUGAAUCGCUCCUUCAGAGGCGAUAUUAUGGCGGUACCUCGGUACCCCGUACCCUCGGAGCAUCGCCCAUCAGUCUGUCGCCUUCACCACCUGUUCAACAUCGACACGCCAUUAGUAGGCGAUAUUCCUCGCCGAAUGAGCAACAGCAGUCGACGACGAUGCAUGGUGCAACAACGCCGGAAUACGAGGAGGAAUCGAGACGAUACGCUCGACGGAAGGAAAAGAAGCACAAGCGCGAGAAGAAGAAGAAGAGGAGUCUGAGCCCGUUAUCGAAUUCGGGAAAAAAGAAGAAGAGAAAAUCCAAGAGACAUUCCGACAGCAUAAGCCCGCAUCACGUUGUUGUCGAGGAUAUUAUCCUUAGCCCGGAUCGCGAGAAACAAUCGUCGGUCACCGCCGGCACAAAUUGGUCGGAAUCGCCGCCGUUGCCGUUGAAGGACAGCACAUCGCCGAUCUCGCCUGCGACGCCGCAGGAGCACAGGUGUCCCAGCGACGACGUGGAGUUGGAGAUGUCGAGACAGACAUCUCGAAACGUGACUCCACCGUCUCUCCUACCGACACGGCAGACGGAAUCGCCGCACACGCCGCUACUGCCUCCGCGUGCCACAACGCCGGAGAGUUUGAAUAAGGUCGUGCCGAAACACGGCAGUCCGGAUCGACAGAAACGUAGUCCCAGUAUUCACGCGAUGCGACGUACCAGCAUGAGUCCCGCACCCAUCGGUCCGAGUCGCAGGAGACCGCACAGCCCGAGUCCACCGUCGAGACGCAGGGAUCACAGUCCGCCGCCGCGAAGAAGAGAUUUCAGCCCCACUCCGGUGCUCCAUAGACUCAGGCACAGUCCGAGUCCUACCACAGUCAGACGACGAGAAUUUAGUCCGAGCCCCGUAGGCAGUCACAGGCGGAGAACGGACAGUGUUAGUUCUCCUAAACGCAGACGACGAGACGAAUCUGAUCGACGACAUCGACAUCACGACAAGGAUAGACGAGAUAAGCGAAAAUCAAGAUCGACUAGAAGUCCCACCGGAAGCAGAUUACAUCUGCCUUUGUCUCGAUCGCGAUCCCGUAGCCCGCAGGGAAGAUGGCGAAAGCUAUCUCGUUCGAGAUCGCGUUCGCGCAGAAGGAGUCGCACUCCGAAAAAAUCACGCUCUCCCAGCAAGUCUCACAAAUUGCUGAGAAAACACAAAUCGAAAAGCCCGCGUCCUCGUAUACCUUCUCCUUCACCUAGAUCACGGGCUAGGAGUCCGUCGAGCAUCACCGCUCGAAAUCUCCGGGUGCAAGCAAAGAUUAGCGAGACUAGUUUGUUUGCAGAGCUCGUAAAGGAUCGGAAUAUGAGAGAAUUGGCGUACAAAAAAUUGCAGGCCGCGAAAGAGAAGGCCGUGAAUCAAGACGAAGUGCAGAUUAUAGAAGGCACUGAUGAAAGGGACAGCGGUGGUAAUGUGUCCUCCGAGAAUAAAACUUCCACUGACAAUAAGGAUAGAUCCAUAAAUCACAAGGAGCAGCAAGUGAAGCCUACCGAGAGCACAGUCGACGUCAUCGAUAUUCCCGUUCCGAUGACGAGCGACGACGCUUUAGCGGGCAAAACACCACCAUUGCCACCCAAUGUCGGCCAAUCGGUCACAGCUGCAUCUAAUUCGACAUCUACGGUGGCGAAUCCGCUCGCUCCUCAUGCAAUUAUACAUACUUCACCCAAUCCAUCAUCGUCAUCAUCAUCAUCAAUGCCACCCAAUAACUGUCCCAUUGCCAUAUCGCACAGCCCGAAUUUUCCGGCUCCCGCUCCUGGUGUACAACCGCCGCCACCACCUCCGCCACCACUGCCGCAAUCCGAGAUCGCGUCGACAGUCUUAUCGCAAGUGUCUGCGCCUGUUGUACCCAUAUCGGUGCCGCCAAUUCCUCCGACACCGAUUCUACCCAACAUGUCUGUUCCACCGCCGCCCAUUCCGCCGAUUCCUGUUCCGGCGCCCAACACAAUCAUGUCCAAGUUCAAUCCACAUAACAAUCUUGUACCCCUGAAAUCGGUGGAUCCUCCUAAGCCCCCUAUAGUAACGUUCACGACCAAAAGCCUGAAGAGAUUACCAUUGCCACCCGGCAUCAACCAGAACGAUCUGGAAAGCAUAGAUUCCCCGCCGAGUCGUUCUCCAACCCCUCCCAGCAAAACGCAGUCCAAAUUUUCAACGGCAUCGACACCGAAACCACCGCAGAAAAAGAGCAUCAAAGAUCUGCCGAUGCCGCCAGUCGUACCUGGUUCGGAAGACCUGAGUGGCGAGGAUGAUCCGAACGCGACACCGCCACGUUUGAAGGUAGAACGAGUAACGCCGAAACCCAAACUGAAGAGACCCAAAAUAUUAAAGCGCAGAGGAUCACGAAAUUCUCACGCUCCCAUGUCAGCCCCUGGCGGUAAAGAUUGGGGAGAACGAUGCGUCGACGUGUUUGAAUGCAUAGCGCAAAUCGGAGAAGGUACUUAUGGACAAGUGUACAAAGCGCGAGACAAGCGAGCCGGCGUGCUAGUAGCCUUGAAGAAGGUUCGCCUUGAGAACGAGAAGGAGGGCUUCCCCGUCACGGCAGUCAGAGAAAUAAAGAUCCUGCGGCAGCUAAAUCACAAAAAUAUUGUUAAUCUUAGGGAAAUAGUCACUGAUAAGCAAGACGCGCUGGACUUCCGGAAGGAUAAAGGUUCCUUUUAUUUAGUUUUCGAAUAUAUGGACCAUGAUUUAAUGGGCCUACUGGAAUCCGGUAUGGUGGAUUUCAAUGAGAUGAAUAAUGCUAGUAUCAUGAAGCAGUUACUGGAUGGUUUAAAUUAUUGUCAUAGCAAAAAUUUUUUGCAUCGAGACAUCAAGUGCUCGAAUAUAUUGAUGAAUAAUAAGGGCGAAGUUAAAUUGGCUGACUUCGGUUUGGCACGACUAUAUAAUGCGGAGGACAGACAGAGACCGUACACCAAUAAAGUGAUCACUUUGUGGUACAGACCUCCCGAACUUUUGCUAGGAGAGGAACGUUACGGACCCGCGAUUGACGUAUGGAGUUGCGGUUGUAUCUUGGGAGAAUUAUUCUCAAAGAAACCGUUAUUUCAGGCCAAUGUAGAUUUGAUGCAAUUAGAGAUGAUUUCGAGGGUUUGUGGAACACCUACUCCUGCUGUUUGGCCUUCUGUGAUAAAAUUGCCGCAUUGGCAUACACUUAAGCCAAAAAAGCAGCAUAGAAGACGUCUGAGAGAGGAUUUCGCCUUCAUGCCAGGGCCAGCCUUGGAUCUUCUUGAUAAGAUGUUGGAAUUAGAUCCUGAGAAGCGAAUUACGGCAGCCGACGCGCUUAAGAGUGCUUGGCUGAAGAAUGUUCAACCUGAACAGAUGCCAGCGCCGCAGCUUCCUACUUGGCAAGAUUGUCAUGAGCUCUGGAGUAAAAAGCGAAAACGCUUGUUACGAGAACAACAAGAAAGCGCUGCGGCGAAGAUGCCUCUUCUUCCCUUCCCGAAUAAAGGAGGUCCCCACAAGGAUGAUCUAUCAGAUGUCGGAGGGAGAUAAUGUAAUAUUGUGGCUGAAUAAUAGAUGGACAAAUUUUGUAACACUUAUAAGAAUAUAUAAUAGGUCCUCUAAGCGACUGAAAAUGGAAGCAGGCUAUAAUUCACAUCCGAGCAGACUCGGUGCGGAAGGUCAUUACGGUGAAGAUAAUUUGUUUAAUCAAAGCGGAC
rnacentral:misc_RNA from 1 species